rnacentral:rRNA from 1 species
UGCUAGUAAUCACGAAUCAGAAUGUCGCGGUGAAUGCGUUCCCGGGUCUUGUACACACCGCCCGUCACACCAUGGAAGUUGGGGGUGCCCAAAGCCGGCAAGCAAAUAUGCUGUCUAAGGCAAAACCAAUGACUGGGGUGAAGUCGUAACAAGGUAGC